rnacentral:rRNA from 1 species
GACGAACGCUGGCGGCGUGCUUAACACAUGCAAGUCGAACGGAAAGGCCUGCAGCUUGCUGCGGGUACUCGAGUGGCGAACGGGUGAGUAACACGUGGGUGAUCUGCCUUGCACUUCGGGAUAAGCUUGGGAAACUGGGUCUAAUACCGGAUAGGACAGCUGUUUAGUGUCAGUUGUGGAAAGUUUUUUCGGUGCAAGAUGAGCUCGCGGCCUAUCAGCUUGUUGGUGGGGUAAUGGCCUACCAAGGCGUCGACGGGUAGCCGGCCUGAGAGGGUGUACGGCCACAUUGGGACUGAGAUACGGCCCAGACUCCUACAGGAGGCAGCAGUGGGGAAUAUUGCACAAUGGGCGGAAGCCUGAUGCAGCGACGCCGCGUGGGGGAUGAAGGCCUUCGGGUUGUAAACUCCUUUCGACAGGGACGAAGCGUAAGUGACGGUACCUGUAUAAGAAGCACCGGCUAACUACGUGCCAGCAGCCGCGGUAAUACGUAGGGUGCGAGCGUUGUCCGGAAUUACUGGGCGUAAAGAGCUCGUAGGUGGUUUGUCGCGUCGUCUGUGAAAUUCCGGGGCUUAACUCCGGGCGUGCAGGCGAUACGGGCUGACUUGAGUGCUGUAGGGGAGACUGGAAUUCCUGGUGUAGCGGUGAAAUGCGCAGAUAUCAGGAGGAACACCGAUGGCGAAGGCAGGUCUCUGGGCAGUAACUGACGCUGAGGAGCGAAAGCAUGGGUAGCGAACAGGAUUAGAUACCCUGGUAGUCCAUGCCGUAAACGGUGGGCGCUAGGUGUAGGGGGCUUCCACGUCUUCUGUGCCGUAGCUAACGCAUUAAGCGCCCCGCCUGGGGGAGUACGGCCCGCAGGCUA